rnacentral:misc_RNA from 1 species
AGAAGUUUCUUGAUUUCUUCCAAAUAGCCAGCAGCAGCAGCACAAUCAUCAUCAAGAAGAACAAGAAGAUGGGUUCAGAGACUAAGACUUUCCUAGAGGUGGUGAUGGCCAUUCUCUUACCUCCAGUUGGGGUCUUCCUGCGUUAUGGGUGUGGAGUAAGUAAUUAUUUCUCAACUUUAAGCUAACUUCAAUUCAUAUUUAACGAUCUUUCCUUUCCUUUCCUUUUUGAAAGUCUCAUUGAUUAUCUUAUUUGGAUUAUUAAUGCAGACUGAGUUCUGGAUAGAUUUGUUGCUGACCAUAUUGGGAUAUAUUCCUGGGAUUAUAUAUGCCAUUUAUGUAUUGGUUCGUUAGUUAGUUAACAUUUUAUUUUAUUUUAUUUAUUUUAUUUUUAAUUCCUUCUUUGGGUUGUGUAAUUUAAGGACUUGCUUGUUCUUAAUUUCAAUGUCUCUUGCUUCCAACCUUGUCUCUCAUUUUCAUCAUCUUAAUAAAAUUCUAUUGCUUAUAAAAAAAAAAGAAAAAUUCUCUUGUUUCCAAAAAA